GACGAACCGUGCGAACGUUAUUCGGAAUCACUGGGCUUAAAGCGCGUGUAGGCGGGUCGCCACGUCGGGCGCUGAAAUCCCCCGGCUCAACCGGGGAACGGGCACCGAUACGAGCGGCCUGGAGGGGAGUAGGGGGACCUGGAACUUCCGGUGGAGCGGUGAAAUGCGUUGAGAUCGGAAGGAACGCCCGUGGCGAAAGCGAGGUCCUGGGCUCCUGCUGACGCUGAGACGCGAAAGCCAGGGGAGCAAACGGG
rnacentral:rRNA from 1 species